AUCAGCAUGUUCAGAUCAUGGAUGGAAAGCUUUUAAGGCAUCCGGUCCCAAUCAUCAUCAGUUCUAAUGAUGCCACAUACAUAGUGAGUCCACAACAUCCUAAAAUUGUUUCCAUAAAGUGCAGUGGUCCAGUGAAUAGGAAUGUUCUGUCGUUGAUUCUCACUGUUCUUAGGAAGGAGAAAUGUCUGUUUGUCAUUAG